UCCACAGUUCUAGUGGAGGUGUUCUUCAUAGACUACCGGUAUUUUUCAAGGCAGCCUGGGAGAUGAUGAAUCUGGGGAUUGCCCCCACCUUCAACAUGCUACGUUCCUCCUGUAGCACUUACGCCAAGCGACAGUUGGGACGUAAAUUUUACGACAGAGUGGCAACAUUUAUGUGCCAUGCUGCCAUCACAGCCAAAAGAUUUUAUCAAGCUGAGGACCCUGCAGAGGACACACUCCAGAGCCGAGCACUGACCACCAAUGCAAUUGCAAAAUAUGCAGCA